CGCAUCUGUGCAUGCAGCAUAUCAAUAAGCGGAGGAAAAGAAACUAACAAGGAUUCCCUCAGUAACGGCGAGUGAAGCGGGAAGAGCUCAAAUUUGAAAUCUUGAAAGGUCACCUUUCACGAAUUGUAGUUUAAAGAAGUGUUUUCUGUUACGAUCGUAAUAUAAGUUCUUUGGAAUAGGACAUCACAGAGGGUGAGAAUCCCGUCUAUGAUUGCGAUUUGUAGCUUUGCUGAUACACUUUCAAAGAGUCGGGUUGUUUGGGAAUGCAGCCCAAAACGGGAGGUAAAUUUCUUCUAAGGCUAAAUAUUGGCGAGAGACCGAUAGCGAACAAGUACCGUGAGGGAAAGAUGAAAAGAACUUUGAAAAGAGAGUUAAACAGUACGUGAAAUUGUCAAAAGGGAAGCGUUUGACACCAGUGUUGUUUUCUCGAAAAUCAAUUAAAAAUGGCUCGAUUUUGUAUUGCUGAGACCUUAAAAGCUCACUGUACAUUUUUCGUGUCUUUUUUAAUGCACUUUUCGUUUAACAAGUCAACAUCAGUUUCUUUUGUUGUAAAAGGGUCAUUGGAAGGUGGCUUUCUUUUCGGAGAAAGUGUUUAUAGCCUUUGGCCUCUGCAAUCGAAGAGACUGAGGUCUGCAGCGUAGACUCUUCGGGGUUAGAUACAUUUGUGCUAAGUUAUAGCUUUUUAUAGACAACUUGUUGACUAUAAUUAGUCUUGUAGCUUACUCGCUUAUGCUAUUUUACCUACGCUUAGGAUGUUGACGAUCAGCUGAGCGCG
rnacentral:rRNA from 1 species